AACUUUCAACAACGGAUCUCUUGGUUCUGGCAUCGAUGAAGAACGCAGCGAAAUGCGAUAAGUAAUGUGAAUUGCAGAAUUCAGUGAAUCAUCGAAUCUUUGAACGCACAUUGCGCCCCGUGGUAUCCGCGGGGCAUGCCUGUUCGAGCGUCAUUAUA
rnacentral:rRNA from 1 species